UACAGAGGGUGCGAGCGUUAAUCGGAAUUACUGGGCGUAAAGCGUGCGUAGACGGUUAUUUAAGUCGGGUGUGAAAGCCCCGGGCUCAACCUGGGAAUUGCAUUCGAGACUGAAUAGCUAGGGUACGGUAGAGGGAAGUGGAAUUUCCGGUGUAGCGGUGAAAUGCGUAGAUAUCGGAAGGAACAUCAGUGGCGAAGGCGGCCUGCUGGGGUCUGGCUGACGCUGAGGCGCGACAGCGUGGGGAGCAAACAGG
rnacentral:rRNA from 1 species